UCCUGAAGGAACGUUGAAGACGACGACGUUGAUAGGUCGGGUGUGUAAGCGCAGCGAUGCGUUGAGCUAACCGAUACUAAUGAACCGUGAGGCUUAACCUUACAACGCCGAAGC
rnacentral:rRNA from 2 species